CAGUAGCCGCGGGAAUACGAAGGGGGCUAGCGUUGCUCGGAAUUACUGGGCGUAAAGGGAGCGUAGGCGGAUCGUUAAGUUGGGGGUGAAAGCCCGGGGCUCAACCUCGGAACUGCCUUCAAUACUGGCGAUCUUGAGUAUGAGAGAGGUGUGUGGAACUCCGAGUGUAGAGGUGAAAUUCGUAGAUAUUCGGAAGAACACCAGUGGCGAAGGCGACACACUGGCUCAUUACUGACGCUGAGGCUCGAAAGCGUGGGGAGCAAACAGGAUUAGAUACCCCCGUAGUCCCUGUCUCUUAUAC
rnacentral:rRNA from 1 species